rnacentral:rRNA from 1 species
AUUGAACGCUGGCGGCAUGCUUUACACAUGCAAGUCGAACGGUAACAGGCCGCAAGGUGCUGACGGGUGGCGAACAGGUGAGUAAUGCAUCGGAACGUGCCCAGUCGUGGGGGAUAACGCUGCGAAAGCUGCGCUAAUACCGCAUACGAUCUAUGGAUGAAAGCGGGGGACCGUAAGGCCUCGCGCGAUUGGAGCGGCCGAUGUCAGAUUAGGUAGUUGGUGGGGUAAAGGCUCACCAAGCCAACGAUCUGUAGCUGGUCUGAGAGGACGACCAGCCACACUGGGACUGAGACACGGCCCAGACUCCUACGGGAGGCAGCAGUGGGGAAUUUUGGACAAUGGGCGCAAGCCUGAUCCAGCAAUGCCGCGUGCAGGAAGAAGGCCUUCGGGUUGUAAACUGCUUUUGUACGGAACGAAACGGCUCUGGUUAAUACCUGGGGCUAAUGACGGUACCGUAAGAAUAAGCACCGGCUAACUACGUGCCAGCAGCCGCGGUAAGAC